rnacentral:piRNA from 1 species
UGCUGAAGCCCCAAGAAGCAGGUGCACCGC